rnacentral:rRNA from 1 species
UACGUAGGGUGCAAGCGUUGUCCUGAAUUAUUGGGCGUAAAGAGCUUGUAGGCGGUUUGUCGCGUCUGCUGUGAAAUUUCGGGGCUCAACCCCGAACUUGCAGUGGGUACGGGCAGACUAGAGUGUGGUAGGGGAGACUGGAAUUCCUGGUGUAGCGGUGAAAUGCGCAGAUAUCAGGAGGAACACCGAUGGCGAAGGCAGGUCUCUGGGCCAUAACUGACGCUGAGAAGCGAAAGCAUGGGGAGCGAACAGG